AGAGGACCGGGAUGGACCGACCUAUGGUGUACCAGUUGUUUCGCCAGAAGCAUAGCUGGGUAGCUAAGUCGGGACGGGAUAAACGCUGAAAGCAUCUAAGCGUGAAGCCUCCUUCAAGAUGAGAUUUCCCAUAGCGUAAGCUAGUAAGACCCCUUGAAGACUACAAGGUUGAUAGGUCAGAGGUGUAAGUGUGGCAACAUAUUUAGCUGACUGAUACUAAUAGGUCGAGGGCUUGACCAAUAA
rnacentral:rRNA from 1 species